rnacentral:lncRNA from 1 species
UUAGACUCGAUAAUUACUCGAUAAGACUGUCGGUACACCGACAUAUUUUAGGAAUUGAUCUGGACUUAGCUAUUUUGACUGUAUUAAUGUUUGUUUGUGAUCCAAUGACUGUUGAAUAUGUGUGACAAUGUGAUUAGGUUAUGUGCUGACUGAGAAAUGCAGUAUUAUGUGUUAUAGUAUAUUGUUCUAAUCGAACGAAUGACCUGAUUAAUGAUAGGUGAUUACAUAAAAGAUAAAACUAAGUUGC